rnacentral:tRNA from 1 species
ACCAUAGCCAAGUGGUAAGGCAUCGGUCUGCAAAACCGAGAUUCCCCGGUUCAAAUCCGGGU